rnacentral:rRNA from 1 species
AGGUGGGGCUACACACGUCAUACAAUGGCCGGUACAAAGGGCAGCAAACCCGCGAGGGGGGAGCCAAAUCCAUCAAAGCCGGUCGUAGUCCGGAUCGCAGUCUGCAACUCGACUGCGUGAAGUCGGAAUCGCUAGUAAUCGUGGAUCAGCAUGUCACGGUGAAUACGUUCCCGGGUCUU